rnacentral:rRNA from 3 species
GUCGAAGGUGGGACUGGCGAUUGGGACGAAGUCGUAACAAGGUAGCCGUACCGGAAGGUGCGGCUGGAUCACCUCCUUUCUAAGGAG